CCUACGGGAGGCAGCAGUGGGGAAUAUUGCACAAUGGGGGGAACCCUGAUGCAGCAACGCCGCGUGGGUGAAGAAGUACUUCGGUAUGUAAAGCCCUGUUAGCCGGGAAGAAAAUGCCGGUACCUGACCAAGAAGCCGCGGCUAACUACGUGCCAGCAGCCGCAGUAAUAUGUAGGGGGCCAGCGUUAUCCGGAUUUACUGGGUGUAAAGGGGGCGUAGACGGCAAGGCAAGUCUGGAGUGAAAGCCCGUGGCUCAACCACGGGACUGCUGUGGAAACUGUGUGGCUCGAGUGCAGGAGGGGUAAGCGGAAUGCCUAGUGUAGCGGUGAAAUGCGUAGAUAUUGGGAAGAACACCGGUGGCGAAGGCGGCUUACUGGCCUGUAACUGACGUUGAGGCACGAAGGCGUGGGGAGCGAACAGGAUUAGAUACCCUAGUAGUC
rnacentral:rRNA from 1 species